rnacentral:misc_RNA from 1 species
CGAAAUGCGCUAAGUAGUGUGAAUUGCAGAAUUCAGUGAAUCAUCGAAUCUUUGAACGCACAUUGCGCCCUUUGGUAUUCCAAAGGGCAUGCCUGUUCGAGCGUCAUUUGUACCCUCAAGCUUUGCUUGGUGUUGGGCGUCUUGUCUCUAGCUUUGCUGGAGACUCGCCUUAAAGUAAUUGGCAGCCGGCCUACUGGUUUCGGAGCGCAGCACAAGUCGCACUCUCUAUCAGCAAAGGUCUAGCAUCCAUUAAGCCUUUUUUUCAACUUUUGACCUCGGAUCAGGUAGGGAUACCCGCUGAACUUAAGC